GGGUCAAUAGCGUAGUGGUUAACGCAUCUGACAAGAAUAUGUAAACCACGUCGUUGAAUCUUACCAGAAGAUCCUCAGUUCAACUCUGAGUUGACCCA